CCUACGGGCGGCAGCAGUGGGGAAUAUUGCACAAUGGGCGCAAGCCUGAUGCAGCCAUGCCGCGUGUGUGAAGAAGGCCUUCGGGUUGUAAAGCACUUUCAGCGGGGAGGAAGGCGGUGAGGUUAAUAACCUCAUCGAUUGACGUUACCCGCAGAAGAAGCACCGGCUAACUCCGUGCCAGCAGCCGCGGUAAUACGGAGGGGGCAAGCGUUAAUCGGAAUUACUGGGCGUAAAGCGCACGCAGGCGGUCUGUCAAGUCGGAUGUGAAAUCCCCGGGCUCAACCUGGGAACUGCAUUCGAAACUGGCAGGCUAGAGUCUUGUAGAGGGGGGUAGAAUUCCAGGUGUAGCGGUGAAAUGCGUAGAGAUCUGGAGGAAUACCGGUGGCGAAGGCGGCCCCCUGGACAAAGACUGACGCUCAGGUGCGAAAGCGUGGGGAGCAAACAGGAUUAGAUACCCGUGUAGUC
rnacentral:rRNA from 1 species